rnacentral:hammerhead_ribozyme from 1 species
AUCCAGCUGGGACGUCCCAAAUAAGACGAAAUGCGCAUCCUGGAU